rnacentral:rRNA from 1 species
UGCUGGAGGUAUCAGAAGUGCGAAUGCUGACAUAAGUAACGAUAAAGCGGGUGAAAAGCCCGCUCGCCGGAAGACCAAGGGUUCCUGUCCAACGUUAAUCGGGGCAGGGUGAGUCGACCCCUAAGGCGAGGCCGAAAGGCGUAGUCGAUGGGAAACAGGUUAAUAUUCCUGUACUUGGUGUUACUGCGAAGGGGGGACGGAGAAGGCUAUGUCAGCCGGGCGACGGUUGUCCCGGUUUAAGCAUGUAGGCGGAGGUUCCAGGUAAAUCCGGUACCUUAUUAACGCUGAGGUGUGAUGACGAGGCACUACGGUGCUGAAGUGAUAAAUGCCCUGCUUCCAGGAAAAGCCUCUAAGCAUCAGGUAACACGAAAUCGUACCCCAAACCGACACAGGUGGUCAGGUAGAGAAUACCAAGGCGCUUGAGAGAACUCGGGUGAAGGAACUAGGCAAAAUGGUGCCGUAACUUCGGGAGAAGGCACGCUGAUAGGUAGGUGAAGUCCCUGCGGACGGAGCUGAAAUCAGUCGAAGAUACCAGCUGGCUGCAACUGUUUAUUAAAAACACAGCACUGUGCAAACACGAAAGUGGACGUAUACGGUGUGACGCCUGCCCGGUGCCGGAAGGUUAAUUGAUGGGGUUAGCGGCAACGCGAAGCUCUUGAUCGAAGCCCCGGUAAACGGCGGCCGUAACUAUAACGGUCCUAAGGUAGCGAAAUUCCUUGUCGGGUAAGUUCCGACCUGCACGAAUGGCGUAAUGAUGGCCAGGCUGUCUCCACCCGAGACUCAGUGAAAUUGAACUCGCUGUGAAGAUGCAGUGUACCCGCGGCAAGACGGAAAGACCCCGUGAACCUUUACUAUAGCUUGACACUGAACACUGGUCCUUGAUGUGUAGGAUAGGUGGGAGGCUUUGAAGCGUGGACGCCAGUCUGCGUGGAGCCAACCUUGAAAUACCACCCUUUAAUGGCUGGUGUUCUAACGUAGACCCGUAAUCCGGGUUGCGGACAGUGUCUGGUGGGUAGUUUGACUGGGGCGGUCUCCUCCCAAAGAGUAACGGAGGAGCACGAAGGUUGGCUAAUCCUGGUCGGACAUCAGGAGGUUAGUGCAAUGGCAUAAGCCAGCUUGACUGCGAGCGUGACGGCGCGAGCAGGUGCGAAAGCAGGUCAUAGUGAUCCGGUGGUUCUGAAUGGAAGGGCCAUCGCUCAACGGAUAAAAGGUACUCCGGGGAUAACAGGCUGAUACCGCCCAAGAGUUCAUAUCGACGGCGGUGUUUGGCACCUCGAUGUCGGCUCAUCACAUCCUGGGGCUGAAGUAGGUCCCAAGGGUAUGGCUGUUCGCCAUUUAAAGUGGUACGCGAGCUGGGUUUAGAACGUCGUGAGACAGUUCGGUCCCUAUCUGCCGUGGGCGCUGGAGAAUUGAGGGGGGCUGCUCCUAGUACGAGAGGACCGGAGUGGACGCAUCACUGGUGUUCGGGUUGUCAUGCCAAUGGCACUGCCCGGUAGCUAAAUGCGGAAAAGAUAAGUGCUGAAAGCAUCUAAGCACGAAACUUGCCCCGAGAUGAGUUCUCCCUGA